GAUGAACGCUGACAGAAUGCUUAACACAUGCAAGUCUACUUGAUUCUACUUCGGUAGUUGAUGGUGGCGGACGGGUGAGUAACGCGUAAAGAAUCUGCCCUUUAGUUUGGGAUAACCUUUGGAAACGAAGGCUAAUACCGGAUAUUAUGGAGACGUCGCAUGACGACUACAUGAAAGCUAUAUGCGCUAGAGGAGGACUUUGCGUCCCAUUAGUUAGUUGGUGAGGUAAUGGCUCACCAAGACCGCGAUGGGUAGCCGGCCUGAGAGGGUGAUCGGCCACAAGGGAACUGAGACACGGUCCUUACUCCUACGGGAGGCAGCAGUGGGGAAUAUUGGACAAUGGGCCACAAGCCUGAUCCAGCAAUUCUGUGUGCACGAUGAAGGUCUUCGGAUUGUAAAGUGUUUUCAGUAGGGAAGAAAAAAAUGACGGUACCUACAGAAGAAGCGACGGCUAAAUAUGUGCCAGCAGCCGCGGUAA
rnacentral:rRNA from 1 species